AGCGAACGCUGGCGGCAGGCCUAACACAUGCAAGUCGAACGAAGUCUUCGGACUUAGUGGCGGACGGGUGAGUAACACGUGGGAACGUGCCCUUUGGUACGGAAUAACUCAGGGAAACUUGAGCUAAUACCGUAUGUGCCCUUCGGGGGAAAGAUUUAUCGCCAUUGGAGCGGCCCGCGUCUGAUUAGCUAGUUGGUGAGGUAAAGGCUCACCAAGGCGACGAUCAGUAGCUGGUCUGAGAGGAUGAUCAGCCACAUUGGGACUGAGACACGGCCCAAACUCCUACGGGCGGCAGCAGUGGGGAAUCUUGCGCAAUGGGCGAAAGCCUGACGCAGCCAUGCCGCGUGAAUGAUGAAGGUCUUAGGAUUGUAAAAUUCUUUCACCGGGGACGAUAAUGACGGUACCCGGACAAGAAGCCCCGGCUAACUUCGUGCCAGCAGCCGCAGUAAAAC
rnacentral:rRNA from 1 species